ACACUGCCUCCAACAUACUUCUAGUUCUAAUUUUUCUGUUUUCUCUAAUUGGUACUAGUAUUAAUGCCUUCUUAAUUCUUAUGAUCAUGAUAUUAGAAUCAAACUCAUCUCUAUUAACUGGUUUUUCUCCCAAAUACGUUGAGGUGUAGCAUUUGACUGGACAAGGGUGUUAAACACUGUUUUAGUGUGCGCUGAAGCGCUCAUGUUAUAUUGUCCACGCUUCAUAUCAUUGGCGGAUCUAGGCAUUACACUGUGUCCUAGGGUCAAAUUUGUGGGCGGAUCUAGGAGGGGUGAGGGUGUUCACCUCGGCAAAAAGUUAUACUGUAUAUAUAAGUUUAUUUUUUUUUUAUGUACAUAUAUAGAGGUUGGCUCAUGGAUUCAAAAUUUACCUUGAGCUUUCAAGUUCAAAUCUGGGUUCAAAUUCUCUUAGAGGACACAGUUUCUCAUUUUUUUUAA